rnacentral:rRNA from 1 species
GAUGAACGCUGACAGAAUGCUUAACACAUGCAAGUCAACUUGAACUUCGGUUUGGGUGGCGGACGGGUGAGUCACGCGUAAAGAACUUGCCUCACAGCUAGGGACAACAUUUGGAAACGAAUGCUAAUACCUGAUAUUAUGAUUUUAGGGCAUCCUAGAAUUAUGAAAGCUAUAUGCGCUGUGAGAGAGCUUUGCGUCCCAUUAGCUAGUUGGAGAGGUAACGGCUCACCAAGGCGAUGAUGGGUAGCCGGCCUGAGAGGGUGAACGGCCACAAGGGGACUGGGACACGGCCCUUACUCCUUCGGGAGGCAGCAGUGGGGAAUAUUGGACAAUGGACCAAGAGUGUGAUCCAGCAAUUCUGUGUGCACGAUGAAGUUUUUCGGAAUGUAAAGUGCUUUCAGUUGGGAAGAAAAAAAUGACGGUACCAACAGAAGAAGUGACGGCUAAAUACGUG